UACCACUCCAGUGUUACAAAAAUCUUAGCACCUGCAAUGCUCAGGAAAAGAAAGCAGCAGGGAUAAUAAGCCACAGGAGCCAGAAUACCAUGGUUCUAAACCGUUUCAUGAUAAAUCUGAUGCAUCAAAUUGUCACUUAUUGGAGGAGACCAUCUGUGCUUCAGUGUUGGCAUUCUUCAUCGCAGACUAAUAAAUGUGUCAUAUUCAUAACUA